rnacentral:rRNA from 1 species
GACAGAGGGUGCAAACGUUGUUCGGAAUUACUGGGCGUAAAGCGCGUGUAGGCUGCUCGGAAAGUCGGAUGUGAAAGCCCUGGGCUCAACCUAGGAAGUGCAUUCGAAACUUCCGAGCUGGAGUUCUGGAGAGGAAGGCGGAAUUCUCGGUGUAGAGGUGAAAUUCGUAGAUAUCGAGAGGAACACCGGUGGCGAAGGCGGCCUUCCGGACAGUGACUGACGCUGAGACGCGAAAGCGUGGGGAGCAAACAGG